UAAACAGAAGUGCGAACAGUAGUUGAGGGUAGGAAGAAAGGCUGCCCGGAAGGGGGUCCGGAAAUCUCAGGCAAGCCCACCCUCAGGCACUACAGCUAGACUCCGAGCUCAAUGGCCAGGCAUCUGAUUCGACCAACAUCAGUUCACAGGACUUAAGCCCAGUCCCUUAGGGAGGCAUGGGGAGGGGCAAGGCCCAAGUAUAUAAAGCUCCCUGAGGGUCAGCGUUGGCUCUGCGCCUGCGACUGUGAUUCAAAAACGUCCCGGUGCCCUUGGCUCUUUUCGGAAUCUGACCCCGAGCUUGCACAGGACACACUGCCCAGCUUGGGUGAGAAGGGUAGCUUCUGGGACCCUCGCCUUUAACAGCACUGCGAGCACAGAGUGCACUGGAUCUGCGAGAAGAAACCGCGUUAACUAGUUUGUCCCUAAGGCCGCCUCGUAGUCAUCGCCGCGGCGCCUUGCGUCUCCGGGCCGCAUUGCCAUGGCUGCCCGUGGUGUCAUCGUCCCAGUUGGCGAGGGGUUGCGCUACGCUGAGUAUUUGCAGCCCUCGGCUAAAAGACCCGACGCCGACGUCGACCAGCAGGGACUGGUAAGAAGUCUGAUAGCUGUAGGACUGGGUGUUGCGGCUCUUGCAUUUGCAGGUCGCUAUGCAUUUCGGAUCUGGAAACCUCUAGAACAAGUUAUCACGAAAACUGCAAAGAAGAUUUCAACUCCUAGCUUUUCAUUCUACUAUAAAGGAGGAUUUGAACAGAAAAUGAGUAGGCGAGAAGCUGGUCUUAUUUUAGGUGUAAGCCCAUCUGCUGGCAAGGCUAGGAUUAGAACAGCUCAUAAGAGAAUCAUGAUUUUGAAUCACCCAGAUAAAGAUCCUUGAGACCACCAAGUGAAGAAGACGAAGCUGUCCGCCUGAAGGAUGAAAGACCAAGUAGAGAGAGGCCUAGCUGUCCCAGCUUAAGCCCUAAUGAGGCCAUCCUGGACCACCCAGCUCAGAAGAACCACCCUGCCAAUCCACAGAAAAGUGGAUCUCCUUACGUAGCAGCCAAAAUAAAUGAAGCAAAAGACCUGCUAGAAUCUGGCGCCAAACAUUGAUUGAUGCUUAAGGACUACGCUGAAGGAAAAAAAAGAGGGGACUUCAAAAAAAAAAAAAAACCUUGCAAAAUAUUCUAAAACAUGGUCUUCUUAAUUUUCUGUAUGGAUUGACCACAAUCUUAUCUUCCACCAUUAAGCUGUAUAACAAUAAAAUACUAAUAGUCUUGCUUUUUAUUAUCUUUUAAAGGAUCUCCUUAAAAUUCUAUAACUGACCUUUUUUUCUUAUUUUCUUUGUUACAUUCAUACAUUUUUAAGAUUUUUGUUAUGUUCUAAAUCCCCCCCCCAUACACACACGUGUGCAAAAAGUAUGAUUAUCAAGAAUGCAAUUGGGAUUUGUGAGCAAUGAGUAGAAGUUUUCUUAUUGCUUAUAUUUGUCUCUUUUUUUUUAUAAUUGUCUCUUUUUUUCAGGGAAUUUGGGACUCUGCCUAUAUAAGAUGUUUUAAAUGUCUUGAGAGCAAGUACUGGCUGAUACCCCUUGGAGAUAUGAUCUGAAAUGUAAUGGAAUUUAUUAAAUGGUGUUUUGUAAAGUAAGGGUUAAGAACCCCGCUCCCUCUGAGACCCUAUAGCUAAAGCAUGAGGACUUGGAGAGCUUCUAAAAUGAUUCACGUUUACAAAAUGAGCCCUGUGAGGAAAGGUUGAGAGAAGUCUGAGGAAUUUGUAUUUAAUUAUAUUCUCCCAGUACUGUAUAUUUAUUCAUUACUCAGUCUACAAAUAGUUAUUGACCCCUUUGAUGUGCAAGGCACUAUCGUGGGUCCCCUGAGAGUUGCAAGUAUGAAGCAGUCAUGGAUCAUGACCCAAAGGAACUUAACAUGUAGAGGAAGGAUAAAUCACACACAUAGUGAAUGCUGUUAGAUACAGGUGAUAUAUUUUAAAAGUUCAAAGGAAGAAAAUAAUAUAUUAAACACUGCAUGAGAGGAGAAAUAAGUGGCAUAGAGCUGGGCUUUAAAAAAGAAAAAUAAUCAGAGAUACCAUAUGAUUGGUGAGGUGAGUCAGUGUUAUUUCUUCUGAGAUGAGUGUUAUUUUGAGAUGACAAUUAGCAGAAAUAGAUAUAUCAAUUGGAGUGAUUAGAGUGCAGGGUUUCUAGAAUGCAAAGUUUGGACAGCAUGGUCAUCAAAGGCCAGCUCUGUGACUUACACUGCAUUAAAUUAAUUUCUUAAAACAUAGUCCCUGAUCAUUAUCACUUUACUAUUCCAAAGGUGAAAGAACAGAUUCAGAUACAGAGUGCCAGCAUUAUUUCCCAGUAUUCCUUUACAAAUCUUGGGUUCAUUUCAGGUAAACUGAACUACUGCAUUUUCUGUAUCUUAAAAUACUUUUUAGAUAUCCUAGAUGCAUCUUUCAACUUGCAACAUUCUGUAGUUUAGGAGUUCUCAACCUUGGCAUUAUUGACAUGUUAGGCCAAAUAAUUCUUUUUUUGUGGGAGGUCUCUUGUGCGUUUUAGAUGAUUAGCAAUAAUCUAACCUGUUAUCUACUAAAGACUAGUCUUAUCAGUUGUGACAACAAAAAUGGUUCCAGAUAUUGCCAAAUGCCCUUUAGAGGACAAUAAUCACCCCCAGUUGAGAACCAUUUCUGUAAAACUUUAAUUACUAUUUUUUCUUUUGGUUUAUAAAAUAAUGAUCCUGAAUUAAAUUGAUGGAACCUUAAAGUCGAUAAAAUAUGGUUCUUGCUUUAAAGUCCCCGUACAUGUCCUACUAAUUUUCUCAUACUUUAGUGUUUUUCAUUUUUCUCCUGUAAUUCUUGUACCUAAGAAUGCCGUCCCAAUCCCCAGAUCCCCACCUGCCCAAAGUCUAGGCAUAGUUGAAGGCCAAGCUAAAACGUAUCCCUCUUUUUCUGGUGCAUCCAGCAAAAGUAAUAUCAUGAAUUAUCAGCUCUCUGAGAGCAGCAUCAUAUCUGUCUUGUUUACUGUUACAUUGGCAGCCAAUAAAUAUUUGUUGAGUGAAUAAAUAAAUCCCCAUAGUACUUUAUUCUUCACAUGAUACAUACCUAUAGGGGCUAUAGCUUGGUACCUUGCGAAGCAACUCUUGGUGUAACAUACCUUAUUUCUCAUACUAAAAUGCAAGAACCUUCAGAGCAAGAAUAUUGCCAUUCAUCUUUGUAACCUCUUUACUCUGGAGCACUUGCAUUUAGCAGGCAUCGUAAAGUUUUACAUACUAAGAAAAUGUUGCUGUUUUCUGAAUACUAUGCAUCAAAACAUGUUACCGCUAAUUUGGAAAGUUCUGCUAAGGAAUAUUGGGGGCACCCUCAGUUGCACCUUUUAAUUGAUGUCAUAUUUUCCUAAUCCAUACUUUAUUCAUGAGAAUUUGAGUCACCCUAGCAUUAGCUUAGAAUUUCCUUAAUUCCCGUUUUCUUUGCAGGUGCCUUGGAGUCAGGUCUGCUUUUGAAUACUAUCUUCCUGUUAUGUGACUUUGGGCGGUUACUCAAUUUUCUAGUCAAUAACCUGUAUCUAUAAAAUAGAGAAAAUAAUCCUAUCAAAUACGGUUGUUGUAGAGAAUAAGGACGUAUAAAGCAUUUAGUCACAUAAAUGCUCAAAAAAUAUAAUUUUUACUUCCUUCACUGCCUCAUUUAGUUAGUUUUAUCUUUAAAAAUACCUCAGAUUCAGGGUAAAGUUUCAGGUAUGUCCCAGUAAUCAUUUAUUUCACCCUUGAAUCUGCAAUUUGGGUAGAACAUGGUGGGGACAGCUCGUCUGCAUUCCUUGCAGCAUUAACAGGCUGGAGGCACCAGUUCUCCAGCCAGCAAGUUGGGCCUGGUUGUUGGCUGAGAGCCUCGGUUUUUCUCUCUGCUUAGGUUCCUAUUUACACAGGCUUCUCCACAGGGCUACUAGAGCAUCGUCACCAUAGCAGCUGUCUUAUAACAGAGUGUUCCAAGAGACAAAAAAUGGAAGCUGCCAGAUUGCCCUAGGUCUGGAAACUGUCAGGGCGUCACUUGUGCCAUAUUCAGUUGGUCUAAGAAUUACAGAGCCUGCCUCGAUUCAAAGGGAGAGGAUAGAAAGGACUGAAAGAAUCAGUGGCCAUCUUUAAUAUGCAACAGGACAGGGUUGGGAUUUUGUCUUCCCCUUGAGUCUGUGAAGGCAUUACUUAAAAAAAUCAGGCAUAUAUAAUUGAACUACAGCUACUUGGAGUAUAAGCUCAGAAAGUUUCAGAUAGUAAGUACAACUACUAUUUUUCUGCUGUUAUCCUUGUACCUAAGGAUGCCAUCCUAAUCCCCAGAUCUCCACAACUAUACCUACAUAGUUGAAGGCCAAGCUAAAAUGUAUCCCUCUCUUUCUGGUGCAUCCAGCAAAAGUAAUAUCAUGAAUUAUGAGCUCUCUGAGAACAGGGAUCAUAUCUGUCUUGUUUACUGUUGCAGUGAAUAAGUACAGUUGCAGAUACUCAGGAGUAAUUCUCUCAAUGGCAGUAUACUUAUAAAACUGAAUUUUCACCAGCUACACACCCCUCCCCCCAAACUCCUUAUUAUCUGUAAAAAGCUUGUUUGGUUACCUGUCUUCAGUAAAGAUUGUGCUUGCAUAUUUGCUGUCAUGGCAUAUUCUGCUUAAUUCAGUUCUGUUGAUAUUGCAGUUUCUGUGUAUUCUUACAUCUUAGAUGCAAUCUGAGGGACUAGGAAGGCCUUUUAAAAAUAAAACAAUUCAGAUUGCAGAGAAAGUGUAAGUCAUGGACAGUUAAUUAAAGGGGAACAUAGAAUGCUAUUUAGAUUUUAGUUGAUGGUGCCAAUCUUCAGCGUAAAGUCACAAGUGGAGAGAAGUUUAGUAAGGAAAAAAUGUUGGGCUUGGAAUGCAUUGUUUAGUCUUCAAAGCACUUUACUUUUUGUGAAAUAUAUUUUAGACAUUCAGCAAAUAUUGAAUACUUACUAUAUCAGGCAGUAAAGAUAUAAGUUCAUUCUUAAAAUGUUCAUGUUCAAGCUAAAUACAAAAAAAAAAUAAGUUCUUAAACAGAAAACUCUUUCCCUCAUACGUUUUAAUUAACAAGACAUAUAGGAGUUGCAUUAAUGGGCAUGCUUAUGAUUGAUCAUCCAGCAGUGUCAUUAGAAAUACAUUUUAUUCAUGUGCAGGAAUCUUUUGGUUGUCAUGGGGAACCUUGAACACAGAAAAGAGCUUUUCAUUGAUAAGGUAAUUCAACACAUUUGACAAUUAGCUUAAUACGGUUUAAUAUCAUUUGUGGGAGAAGAUGAAUCAGCCAGGCUCUUUAUGUCAAGAAUAUGAAGUUUCUCUGACUCCACCAACUUAAGAUGAGCUACAGAGACUGCAGUGAAAAGUGAAAUAUCCAAGUACACCAGCUUAUUUCACACAGUGGAAUCAUGCUGUCCUCUGGCACCCUGCACCUUGCCCAACAGUCAUCAACCAGAUACAGGCUCCUGGCUGCUAGGAGGAUUUGAUGGGAAUGAGUAAAUGUGUCAGCAUAGUCCCUCCCUUCUAAUGGAAAAGCAACCUGAAGAGCAAAUCCUAUUAAUGACUGGAUCAGUAUCAUCAACUUGUCAAAAACAUUCCAUGAAUUAUGAGUCAGAAUUUUAUUUAUGGUGGCAUUGCACACACUAAGAGAUUAGGAUUUUUGUUAGCAUAAUUUAUUAGCUGGAAAAGUUGAGAAGGUUCUCUGGACUCAUUUUUGUAGGUGGAACCUAAGUGAUCUGGAUCAUUGCCCACCAGUGAAAUUGCUGGGCAUGGCGGACAAAGAAAAUGUUCCUUCUAAUGAUUUUUUAUGAGCUGAGUAGCUAUUGUUCCCAGCUGAGUGCUCUUUCCCUCUUUUUAUUGUUGCUGAGCAAAAGAAUUUAUAAAAAGCUCUUUCUUUUGUAUUAAAAACCCUGCUCAACUGAAAUGCAAGUUCAUUAAGUAAUGUUCAUUUCUCUUCCUGCCAUAAUAACCCUUUCCCUCUCUGUUCGAUUCAACAGUGUCUAGCAGCACUGGUCAAAAUUUUAAGUCUGAACAGACUAUAUUACAUAGAUGUAGAGAAAUAGAUAUUCAAUCUUCAGCUUUAAGGGGGAGCUUAAUUUCACAUGAGUAGAAUAUGAUCACUUAGGCUAGAUGUUGGCCAUAAAUUUCAAAUUAGUAUCUCAACUUAGCGGGGGGAAUCAACAGUGGCUUCAAUUAUGACAGGAUAAAAAUCACAUAGAGAUAGUUCAAUAUGGACAUCUAAACUAUAAUGCUAAAUGCCAAUAAUUAGAAUAAGUUCAUUUUAAGAAAAGCAAUAAUAUUAGCUAACAUUUGUUUAGUACCUGUGCCAAACAUUUUGCCUAUGUUACCUUAAUUUUCAUAGCUAGCCUAAGAGGUACUAUUAUGUAUCCCCAUUUUACAGGUUAACAAACAGGCUCAGAGGAGUUUAGGAUCUUUUCCAAGAUUACAUAGCCAGUAAGUGAUGGGACUAAGAUCCAAAUUCAGACUCUGAAACACAUACUCUUUAUAUUAUAUUGCACUUGUUCUAAAAAUGUGGGAAUCAGAAUGAAGGGACUUGUAUGACUUUUGGCUCAUUCUUUGAUGCACGUGGCCUGGAGUUAUAAAGGAUCCAGUGUCAUUGUGCAUCAUGAGCAAGGAGUACCUAAUCUCUUUAAUUCUUCCCUGGAAGCUUAUGACGUCCAUCCAAGUGCACAUAGCAAAAGUUCUGUUGUAAACUUUAGCAGAGUGAGUUUCUCUGACUCAGUGAUGAUGGAGGAAGCUUUGAUGAGAUUUUAUCUGAAAUGUUCAUGGACAAGAACUUUCAAGGAGAACAUCCAGAGCAAGUUUGCGAAGACAGCUCAUGAAAGUGAAGCAGCAAGACCUUGCAUGAGAAAUGAAGAGAUAGCUCAAUGUAUUAAAGAUGAAAACAA